CGCCCCGACCCCCGCGGGCCUGGCGCGGGCAGCUCCGCGGCGGCCGGGCGGGGAAGCCCGUCUUGCUUCGCCCCCGCAAGGCCGGGGGGAGCAGCCCCCCCUCCCCGGGCGGGGUGGGCGCGGGAAAGGGGCGCUCGCGCGCGGCCGUUGGUGCGCGGCCCCGCGCGGCAGGCGCGCUCCCGGCGGAGGCGAGGCGAGGCCGGGCGGUGCGAGGGGAGCCCAGAUGUGACUCAAACCUCAGUAAUGUCUGCUGGAAAACAAACUUCAGGAAACUUCGCGCUUGAAGUCUCCGCUGCUGAACCUUACGCGUGAAGUCAGAGCGUUCGCCGAGAAAACGCCUCGUAACCGGCAGAGAAAACUGACAAGUCUUCCCAGCAACCAGCUUGAUACGUAGGAAAAAAAAAACUUGUUUUUUUUUCCCCCGAGAAAAAGCUGACUGGGAAUACCUAUAGCCAGGUGCAUACCUAGUCAAAGCAAGUGAGGAGGUGACUGUUAACAUCAUCUUCACUUUUCUUAGCCUGCUGAUUCUCCCCUACGGUAAAACCUUGACUCCUGCGUAGUAGUCCAGCGCAAAUCUGGAAAGUGCCAAACUGAGUGUGAGGUUGAUCUUUAUGCAGCAACUUUAACACUCGGUUGGGCAUGUGAAUGAUACCUGCCAGUGGGAAUUCAACAGUUUGUUGACUUAAGUCUUUCUGUACCAAAUCUUCUGUUGCCUGCAAGUAGACAGAACUCAGCAGAGUGAAUGCCAGAGGAGGUCUGGCCUGAUACAGAAGUGGAAGGGCAGACCACGUAGGUUGAUCUGACUGAGAACAAAUUCAAGAUUAGUCUUAAAUUUUUGCAUAGGCCAACUUCUAUACCUUGAUGGGAAACUUGACUGUCAUAUUUUACAAGUACCCAAGUUUAAAAAGUAAAUGCUCUUUAAUACCCUAUUUUUAAUACUCUAUAGUUAAUAUAAAUAGGAAAUUCUAUAGUGACUUCUCCCACCUUCCCCUCUGCCUCCAAAAUGGAUUUAGAAACAUAGGUUGACUUGAUUGUGUUGGACACAGUUGUCGCUACACAAUAGUGCAUGUGAUUCACUUCAUUGGAUAAAGAGAAGUGCUUUUCAGGAAAACUGGCACUAAGUACUUGAAACAUGCUUUGUUUUCAGCUUAUAACUUCAGUUUUUUUCAUGUCAUUGGAAGAAUCCAGAAAUAACAGUUCUGUCUGCAUCUUGAAUCACUUCACUAUUUCAUUGUUCUAGAAAAGAAUCUUCAACUAUUUUAAGGGUUGCAAACCAAUGCAACUCAAGGAGGUGGUGAUUCUUUUUUCUUCUGUGCUUUAGGAAUCUUUACAAAAUGGUUGUGAAUACAUCCAUUUAAGUGGUAAGUCUUGCUCUGUACUGGCUCCAGCAUACAAGUCCAGGUUUUAAAGAUUCCAUUUUCUGCAAUUUAACUCUUUGGAAAGGAAAAUUUAAUUAGAAGAGAGAGGGGGAAAAAAGAAUCUUAUCCCACUCAGAGCAUGGAGAUAAGCAGUUUUCUUGUGUUUUGGAACUCCUGAAGCAAGUUGGUUAUGAGCCAACCUGAGUAUUUAUAAUAUUGGACUGAUGCUCAGGGGUAGCUGAAGUAGUGUUGUUGGUCAGAUCAGUCUUUCCCUUGCUUAUGUGGUGACUUGCAUGCUAGUGGCCAGAACUAACAGGAAACCACAGCUGCUCUUGUUCAUGGCAGUGACAGCUGCCUAAAGAAGUAAAACCAAAUACAGUACAGGAAAUGAGAUGGCUGAAUACAGAUGACUUGCUGAAAAGUACCCUGGAAGUCUCUAUGUAAAACAAUCUUUGAAUAAUUUUAUCAAGUUUUAUGGAACAUGUAAAACUGGUUAAGCUGCUUUUCUCAUAAGGUCAUUGCUGACAACUGUUUUAAUUAAUAGGUCAGUUUCAGAGAAUAGAUUAGUGAAAAUAACCAGUGUGCAAAUACAAAUAAGUUUUUUGAGUUCAUAGCUGCUUGGUAGUAUGGAAAUGAUUCCAUGUUUGUUUUGGCAGCAUUUACUGCAGGGAUAAAACUUUUAGAGUCUGUUCAUGUUAACUGACUGCCCAACAGGUCUGGUAUCAAUGAAACCAAGUUAAUCAGAGUUGUGAAACAGCAUAACCUUUUGUUUAUGCUCACUCAAAUUGCCUUAACAUCUCAACUACUUCCUCAGUUCAGAAACACUUUAAAACUAUCUUUAGUUCCACAGUAGAUUCAGUCUGACUUUCAUGUAUAUAGAAGUUUGGGGAUUUUGAAAAACUUUGUCCUAUGUUACUUGGAAAGUCAUGUUCAGUAUCUGUAUUUGAAGACAGAUGACUCUUACUUUAUUUGCUUAUUUGACUUGGAGGUGAAUGAAUCUGAUUUCCUGUGUGGUGCUGCUUUGGCUUGCUACCAGAAGGAGCUAUUCAGCAUGAGGAGACUUUCCCAUCUUCUGUUUUUGGCUGCUUCUCUUCUGCCUACCAGGAUUUCUUCUUCUCUUCUGACUUAACUACGUGUUAAUGAGCUUCUUACUAAACAAGGUGAUAUUCAUUCUACCCUUGCUGCACUUCUCCUGUUGCAGAGGUCUAAGGCUCAUACCAGUAUCAGUGCCCAGUCACCAGUAGCCUCUGUCAUGCAUAUUACCUUGUCUAAAACUGUGUACAUACAUCAUGAUGGUAACUUGUUUGCAAAAGAAAAGACUUUACUGGCGAAAGUUGGAGCAGUACAACCCCAUGGGUUGUCUUUACCUUAGUGGCAUAGGUUAUUCCCCCUUGAAAAUGGAGAAGUAAGUAAUAGUGCUAUAAGGUACUGUCAGUUCAAUAGAGCUGCAUUUAUCCUGGGGUUGUGUUGGUGUAUUUGCUUUCUAAGUGAGGUGUGUAUGAAAGUCUGUAGCCCAGGGGCCUUAGGGAAUAAGAUAAGGAAGUGUAUCUUAGGAGCCAUACAACAUAUGGGACUAUAACAUAGACCAUCUGUAACCUGAAAUAAACCAUGGAAACUGGUCUAACUUCAAAGGAAUCAGAGUUUUACAGAUAAAGACUGGUAAUUAGCCUGUGAUAACACUUGUAGUAUUAUAGCUAAAGCUUGUAUGAGUGCCUGAUUUUCACAGGUUUAUAUUUUCCUAUUGUAGCAUGCCUAACUCUGCAACAAGUGCAGUGGUGGAUAUAUGUUUAAACUGCAAAUUGGGGAAGAAAAAAAAGGACAAGGAGUGGCAUCCUACACUUGUGUAUGCUUCUCCGGCUAUGAAUCUUUUCAGUCUCAGCUUUUUCAUAAUCAGCUCAUGCCGUUUGUUCAGUAGCCAGCUUUGUCCUUGAGCUUAAAUAGUUGUUUUCCCUUGCUACUGUUGGCUCCUUGUCUAUUUAUAGAGAGAUCAUAACUCUCUCAGCGUUGGGCUUUCUGGAUAAACACGUUUAGGGGGCUGAAGAGGGAAACCUCUUGCAUAUUAGACCCCUCAUUCUCUGGUCAUCCUAGCAGGUAUUCUUUGCACCUGAUCCACAUGAAUUACAAAAGCUCCAUCUUGCUAGGAAAUAAGCUAUUAGGCACAGCUUGAAAUUUGCCUGCUUCAUGUCAGCACUAUGGUGGCUCGUUUUUGUCUCCUAUGGCAUUUAGACCACAGAAUUAGAGGCCAACUUACGUGUUACUCCCUCCUCUACACACCCACACAUGGCAUUAAUAUCUUUAUCUCACUGUAUCAGUCCUUAUUACUACAGUGUUCUGAGUGCCUCUUAAUGAACAACCUAAUCUUUUAUGCAGGAUUGAGGCAGUUUUAGAGAUGAGACAUGCACUCUAUCUUUACUUCCUAGUGAUAUUCACUAAGUGCAUAAAUUGCAGGUAGUAAGUGCUGGGCUGGUGUUAUACAAAAUCUGUCAUACUAGCAUUUAAAACACAAGACCUUACUAAUGCACCAGAUACUUUAAUAGAGAAUAUUCUUGGCCUUCCUCUGCAUGGAAUGAAAUAAGCUUAUAUGUAUGUAUAUUUGAAAUAAUAAAAUAGCUUAUGGAAAGUAUAAAAGAAGUGAUAUUCUGAAGUAUUCUGUCUAGUUCAGUACCUAAAUGGUCACUGUACAGAUACUAAGGCUACAUGGGAGUUGUUUUUUAAUUAGAAUGGUGGGAUAUGUCCAUAGGGGAGGCUGUUCCCUGUUCCAGGUUAUAUCUAACUAAUGCUGUAUGUAAAGAAAGGCGUAUUUUUUUAUCCCCUCCCCCCCACUAGUUAGUGAAUUGAAUUUAGGAAUGAGUAAUUGUUAUUGCUGAUUAGUGUACAGUGUUCUUGUUUUCCAGUGCUGAAUUACUCACUCAUCCUGCUUUAUUAGCUUUCUCUGGAAUUUCUUAGUCUUCAGAAAUUACAAAUUUGUCAUCAUGCUGUUUACUGCACUCUUCAAAUAAUUAGCUAAGGUUAAGCAGUUUCCUUGCAGGGAAGCUUGGAAGGACUUUUAGGCUUUUAGGGAUUUAAAAAAUAUAGUUGUUGUGAGAGAGCCUAAGGAUUGCUUUGAAGUUCUGUUCCUACUGAAAUUCAUCUAGGUGAAAAUGUUAUACAUGGAUACAAAGCUGACAUUAAGGAACUAAGGUAUUGCAAUAAAUGCUGGAGCUGAUUUAUGGAUUUUGUUUUGGGGAUUUUGCAGAUAGAGGUGAGGAGAACAAAUGUACUAUGUUAGCAAGAAUCUUGACCUGUAAAAUGCCCAAAUUAGUCUCAAAGCUCAAAAGAUAAUCAUGACUAGAAGAAAAUACUGAAGUCAAAGCAGGACAAAAGCCUUGGUUAGAUAUGAAUAAUCCAGACUGAGAUGCAAAGCUGUUCUGGGUUGUGGUGCACUUGAAAGACUUGCUAAGAUUCACAAGAUACUCAGGAGGAGUAGCUUGCCAAGUGUGUUGCUCUGAGCCAUUACCUUGGUAACAACUUAGUUUUGAGACUUGUCUUUGAAUACUUCACCCUCACUAGUGAUGAGGGCUUGUGUACUUAACUAGUCUUUAUGAUAACUGAACUAGAAGGUCAGGAAGUAAUUAUACUAACUUUCCUAAGUGCGUUUCUGCAGAUUUUUAGGCAACUAGAAAGACAGCAAUCAUGUUCUCUAAAAACUAGUGGUUCUGUAUAUCUUUUUUUAAAGUAAGCAUACUGAAAACACAAUGUAAUGGAACACAACAAAAUUUGUACAAAGUAAAGUCUAGGAUGUACAGCUGGUUACUCUUUCUUUGAAAUGAAGAUCUUCAUUACCUACCUGUUAGUACAAAUCUCAGUUUACAUCUCUACAAAUUCUGUUUAAAAUGGUAACUGACAGUUACUGUAAAACUCAUGUGCGGGAUCCCUACAGACACCAGUUAUAUCACAGAAUCCAAAAUACAGUCUUAUUGAUAAGCACUAUUUUGACAUUUAUUUCAAAAAUGCUGUUUCAAGUGCUUUGCUACCUCUACUUGGAAAAGUUAAAAUUAAUCCAUAGCAUCUCUCUAAGAGGCUAAGGUUAAAUCAUGAGCAAAUUUUACCAUGGCCAAGACAACUACUGGGCUCAGCACAGAGAUAACUGGGUAAGGUAUAGCAUCUCCAAAAUACGGAAGAUCAUAAAACAGAAGUUUCAAAAGCUAAGACACUAAUGUGGUGAUAAAGCCUUCUCUCUAUACUACCCAGUAGUGAAACAAUUAAAAUAAAAACUUUUCCUCAUGUAGAAUAUCUUGUGCAUAGCAAAAACAAGCUAUCACUCAGGAUACUGUUUAGCUUCUUGGGGUGUGGCAAGGAAAGAGAAUACUCAACUAGAAAAAGAAUUUGUAUGUUUUCCAGUGAAAAGUAUUUUCCAUGGCAGUGAGUCACAGUAACUUGAGGCUUUCUUCAAACUAUUUGUCUAACCAGUUUGCUAUAACAGUCGCAAGUUUCCAGAGACCUACUAUGUGGGACUUGCCAGGGUUAUAAAAUGCUAGUCUUGCUGUGUAGCAGUGACUUUCAUUGCUUAUGUAUUAAAAAUCUUUUUGGGGAAAAAAAAAAGAAAAAAACCAAGAAAAACAGUAUCGCAUCUGUUUAUGUGGUCCAUUUUAGAAUUGGGCUAUUGAAUGCGUCUCCAAAAGAGCUGUACAAAUGCAUGGCAAUACUCUCUCCCUGCCAAAGUAGGAAGCUGUCAAACUAAAUUCCACUGAUGUCCAAAUACAAUAGAAAUUAAGUCUUUUAUCUUUGUGCAUGCUCUUGCAGAUGGGAUGUACAGCAUUCUCAAAUGCCUGGCUCUCAUCAGCCCUCACAGCACAAAUAACUCCCCGGUUGAGAGGUGGGCCUCCUAUAGAUUAAUCACAGUUCCUGGAAAAUGAUAAUUGGCCUAAUUGUGAAAAGGAAUAAAAUGUUAGCAUAUUUUCAAUGUUGUCCCCCUUUUGCUACAGGAGAGAAAAAAAUCAUACCUGUCACUAAACAGGGAAGCUAUACCCUGAACUAUGCCUGACCUGGUAAUAGAAAUGUUUAGCAUAGAAACAGUAAUUAAGUAGCUAGUGAAGUCAGCACAACUCUCAGAAUUGACUAGUCUCCCACUUAUGAAGAUAAGCCAUUAGACAAGUUGAUUUAAUUAAAACUGUUUAGUGAACUACACAGGAAGCUAAAUCCUGCUCAAAAAUAUAAAAGAAAAGGACAAUUUCAGCCUCAAGUCUAAAAGUUGUCCCUAUUCUGGUAUAUGUACAUGGUGACUAAUAGGUGUCUCAGCUGAAAGCCUUUCAAUGCUUUGUUAAUCUUGGAGCAUUUUCCUUAGUUCACCUAGUAUAAAAGUGUAAUAUUUAUUGCAAUAAAAUAUAUAGCAGCCCUUAAUAAAAGUGGAAAUGUAACUGAAUUGCAUGUGUGUGAAGCCUCUAGCUACACUGCUGCUUGUUCAGUUUUUCAGAUUGCAUCUGCCAUAUGAUAAACAUGCAGAAGAGGCCACACUCUCCUUUUUUGUGUUCUGUUUCCCUGUUAAAACUGUAAAAAAUAAAUAACCCUAACUCUUAAUCUACCUGCUGCUUUCUGUAUACCAAUAAACAGCAUUUUGCGUGCCUGCAAAGGUAUGACUGACAUAGUUCUAGCAAAACUGUUUUGCGUACGUGGCUUGGUGAAGUUAGAACAAAUAUGUGGGUUGAAUAAAUACACAGUGAUGUAGUUCAGAUG